rnacentral:rRNA from 1 species
GGCUCAGAACGAACGCUGGCGGCGUGCCUAACACAUGCAAGUCGAACGUGAUUAGAGAGCUUGCUCUCUAUGAAAGUGGCGCACGGGUGAGUAACGCGUAGAUAAUCUGCCUGAUGAUCGGGGAUAACACUUCGAAAGGGGUGCUAAUACCGGAUAAGCUCACGGAGUCCUUGGACUCUGCGAGAAAAGGGGGGGACCUUCGGGCCUUCUGUCAUCAGAUGAGUCUGCGUACCAUUAGCUAGUUGGUAGGGUAAAGGCCUACCAAGGCGACGAUGGUUAGCUGGUCUGAGAGGAUGAUCAGCCACACUGGAACUGAGACACGGUCCAGACUCCUACGGGAGGCAGCAGUGGGGAAUUUUGCGCAAUGGGGGAAACCCUGACGCAGCAACGCCGCGUGAGUGAUGAAGGCUCUUGGGUCGUAAAGCUCUGACAGAGGGAAAGAAAUGUAUUGCGGCUAAUACCUGCGAUACUUGACGGUACCCUCAAAGGAAGCACCGGCUAACUCCGUGCCAGCAGCCGCGGUAAUACGGGGGGUGCAAGCGUUGUUCGGAUUUAUUGGGCGUAAAGCGCGUGUAGGCGGUUUGGUAAGUCUGAUGUGAAAGCCCUGGGCUCAACCCGGGAAGUGCAUUGGAUACUGUCAGACUUGAAUACGGGAGAGGGCAGUGGAAUUCCUAGUGUAGGAGUGAAAUCCGUAGAUAUUAGGAGGAACACCGGUGGCGAAGGCGGCUGCCUGGACCGAUAUUGACGCUGAGACGCGAAAGCGUGGGUAGCAAACAGGAUUAGAUACCCUGGUAGUCCACGCCGUAAACGAUGAGAACUAGGUGUUGCGGGUAUUGACCCCUGCAGUGCCGUAGCUAACGCAUUAAGUUCUCCGCCUGGGAAGUACGGUCGCAAGACUAAAACUCAAAG